UACGAAGGGGGCUAGCGUUGCUCGGAAUUACUGGGCGUAAAGGGCGCGUAGGCGGGCGUUUAAGUCAGAGGUCAAAUCCCGGGGCUCAACCUCGGAACUGCCUUUGAUACUGGACGCCUAGAGUAUGGGAGAGGUGAGUGGAACUCCGAGUGUAGAGGUGAAAUUCGUAGAUAUUCGGAAGAACACCAGUGGCGAAGGCGACUCACUGGCCCAUUACUGACGCUGAGGCGCGAAAGCGUGGGGAGCAAAC
rnacentral:rRNA from 1 species